rnacentral:misc_RNA from 1 species
UUUUUUUUUUUUGAAAAAUAAAAAAUUGUGCUGCGGUUCAAUUUCGAUGUUUGGGUUGAUGGUAUUUAUGAUCACGGUAGUGAUUCUUAGGGUUUAAGUAGUUAAGUGGAUGUUUCUUUGUUCGACUGAUCACAGGAUGUGUUUUUUAAUUUCUAGUUUUUGUCUUUCAUUCAAGUAUCUUGAUUCAACUUCUGGCCAAAGGAUGUUUGAAUUUUCUCUGGCUUUUAAAUCACUUUAUUUCUUAUUGUUUGUCAGUUUGUUGCUAAAUAUCGAAUCUUACUUACAAAUUCCAUAGGAUAACCCACAUGGGAGUUAUUAGCCUGCCAAAACUGGAGCAUUGCUGGUGUGUUUAGGCUUGUUGUCAACUAUCAGCAUGGUUACAGGGUUGCUCAAUGCUCAAUAAUUCCAAAUUUUAAUUUGUCUUGUUUGCCAUAGAGCUCAUAUUUUUUGGUCCAUGGAAGACAGUAGGACCAGGUUACACAAGUAAGGAAAACCCUCCCUAUAUCUCCUUCCAAGUCAAAUCAAUAGACAAUAAUCCUGCUUAUCCAUAAAAGAGUUGCUGGCCUCGGAAUAGAAUCCACAACUGCUUCACACCCAAGCAAGUCCUAUACAAAUGUCUCCCACAAAGAACUCCAGUUGGCAAGUCCAGUUGAGUUCAGGUGGUCUAGUUGUUAUGUAUUUACUACAUUAUUUAAGCUGGAGAGUCUUAAUAUAUCGUAAAGAUGAGGUUGUAGUGAGUUUUAUGCAUGUUUGAGACUUGUCGCCCAUUAAGGAAUUGAUGGUUAUCAGGUGGACAUUUUACUUUAGCUGAAGCCAUUUCAAGAAAUACGCUUCUCCACUACCAUUUCAAGAAAUACAUUUCCCCACUAAGUGCAUGUUCAUAAUGGAAAAAAAAAAAGGUUUUUUCUUUUACAACUGAGAACAGGAAAAAUUAUAAUUACAAAAAUAAACCACCCCAUAAUUAGAACUGCCUUAGGCUAAUAACUGCAUCCUCCCACUUGUCUACUGAUAGGCCUUGGGCCAUACUAAAUGUUGGACAUUCUUCACUGGGGAGUUUUGCAAGGAGGGGUGCCCCCCUUUUACUUGGAGCUUUUAAUAUACACCAUUCUCUAAAUAUGAGCCACAACAUCAACACUCUCAUGUUGCUUCACUUCUCUGAAUUCUCCAUUUUCCUCGAGUAAUUAUGAUUGCUUUUUAGCUCUGUAUAUUUCAUAUGCAAAUUGACUUGUGAAGACAUCUAGAUAGAAACUUAGGUUCAUACGUAACUCCUUUUCCUCAUUUUUUUAGUUACUUUGGAACGACCUACAUUGUGGCUUUCUGGCUGGGUUGGUUUGUUCCAAAUUAUAAACAUGGUUGGUUGGAAGGCACCUCAAAAUUU